UACGUAGGGUGCAAGCGUUGUCCGGAAUUAUUGGGCGUAAAGGGCUCGUAGGCGGUUUGUCGCGUCGGGAGUGAAAACUCAGGGCUUAACCCUGAGCCUGCUUCCGAUACGGGCAGACUAGAGGUAUGCAGGGGGAGAAUGGAAUUCCUGGUGUAGCGGUGAAAUGCGCAGAUAUCAGGAGGAACACCGGUGGCGAAGGCGGUUCUCUGGGCAUUACCUGACGCUGAGGAGCGAAAGUGUGGGGAGCGAACGGG
rnacentral:rRNA from 1 species